rnacentral:rRNA from 1 species
CUCUAGGGUUAAUACCCCUAGACGAUGACAUUAGCUGCAGAAUAAGCACCGGCUAACUCUGUGCCAGCAGCCGCGGUAAUACAGAGGGUGCAAGCGUUAAUCGGAAUUACUGGGCGUAAAGCGAGCGUAGGUGGCUUGAUAAGUCAGAUGUGAAAGCCCCGGGCUUAACCUGGGAACGGCAUCUGAUACUGUUGAGCUAGAGUAGGUGAGAGGAAGGUAGAAUUCCAGGUGUAGCGGUGAAAUGCGUAGAGAUCUGGAGGAAUACCGAUGGCGAAGGCAGCCUUCUGGCAUCAUACUGACACUGAGGCUCGAAAGCGUGGGUAGCAAACAGGAUUAGAUACCCUGGUAGUCCACGCCGUAAACGAUGUC